rnacentral:misc_RNA from 1 species
AAAAGUGUAAAAAUCAAAGCUUUAAUGGAAUCAGGAAUGGACUCAAGUACAAAACCUUUUUCUGUUCUCUUUGUGUGUCUUGGAAACAUAUGCAGAAGUCCAGCUGCUGAAGGUGUUUUUACAGAUUUGGUUAAGAAAAGGGGGCUUGAUUCAAAGUUUAAGAUUGAUUCUGCUGGUACUAUUAAUUAUCAUGAGGGAAAUGAAGCUGAUCCAAGAAUGAGGGCUGCUGCUAAAAGGCGUGGAAUUGCGAUAACGUCUAUAUCUAGGCCAAUUAGGGCUUCUGAUUUCAAAGAUUUUGAUCUCAUUCUUGCUAUGGAUGAGCAAAACAAAUCUGAUAUUCUUGGGGCUCUGGAGAGGUGGAUCCAUAGAGAGCCAUUGCCAGCUGAUGCAGCGGAAAAGGUCCGCUUGAUGUGUUCCUACUGUAAGAAGCAUCAGGAAACUGAAGUUCCAGACCCUUACUAUGGUGGAGCUCAAGGUUUUGAGAAGGUACUAGAUAUGCUUGAAGAUGCUUGUGAUUCACUGUUGGAAAGCAUUGUGACAGAACAAAAUUUAGGUUCAUAGAUGUACUUUAAUCACCAGUAUUCUUACUGCCAAUAAGGCAAUUGGUUAUUCAAAGCAUAUACCAUGUACUCUACUGCUCAUUGUUUGAACUACCGCGACUUGUAUAGCCGGUCUGGUUCUAGCCCAUGGUAUGCACUGAUGUGUUUAUUGUUUACCUGGCAAGUUAAGCAAAG